AGCGUAGGCGGACUUUUAAGUGAGAUGUGAAAUACCCGGGCUCAACUUGGGUGCUGCAUUUCAAACUGGAAGUCUAGAGUGCAGGAGAGGAGAAUGGAAUUCCUAGUGUAGCGGUGAAAUGCGUAGAGAUUAGGAAGAACACCAGUGGCGAAGGCGAUUCUCUGGACUGUAACUGACGCUGAGGCUGAAAGCGUGGGGGAGCAAACA
rnacentral:rRNA from 1 species